GAAAAGAAAGACUUCGAACUUCAAUCAACCGAAGGCUUGCUGGCAGAGACCGAAGCUAAAAUAUCAGAAUUGAAUUCGAAGCUUAUCGGUCAAUCAAAACAGUUUGAACAGGAAAAGCUAGAGCUUAAUUCUAAACUUGAAGCCGAAGUCCAAGCCAACUCAAAUUUGAAGAAAUCAUUAACAAGCCUUCAGGAUAAAUGUUUGAAUUUUAGCAACAAUUGUAUCCAACAACUAAAGAAGAUCUUUUACUCAGUUGGAGCCAGCAGCGGGAAAUUUACCCCUUCGGAUGAAGAUUUACCAAAAGCCUUCGAUCAUAUCGAAGCUGAAAUUGAAGAACUUGACGAAGUUAUAGCUGGGCACGGGGACUUCUGUGCCUGGGUAGCUUCUCGGGGUACUGCUGCAGCAUUCCUGAAGGCUGGCUGCGAGCAUGGAAAGAUCGUCAACAGGCCCAACUUCACCCUGUCUCCAUCAAUCCUGGACGAUAUACCUGACCUCGCCCGAAGUAUCUCAAAUAGAUUUAUAAAAAUGAUAUGGACAAAAGGCGGGCGGGAGAAGGCUGGAGACGAAGCUCGAAGUCAUCUUGAACCAGAUGACGAAGCUGAAGGUGAUUAAAGAAUAUGCCGCCGAAGCGGAAGCCUGAAGAAGAUUAGUAGUAGUAGGCUAGAAAAUUUGGAACAACUUGUUGUAGAUACAAUUAAACCGUUCUCAAGGAACUUUGUACAUACCUUGUAAUAUAUCCUUACCCUUUUAUUAA